rnacentral:rRNA from 1 species
AUUGAACGCUGGCGGCAUGCCUUACACAUGCAAGUCGAACGGCAGCACGGGUGCUUGCACCUGGUGGCGAGUGGCGAACGGGUGAGUAAUACAUCGGAACAUGUCCUGUAGUGGGGGAUAGCCCGGCGAAAGCCGGAUUAAUACCGCAUACGAUCUACGGAUGAAAGCGGGGGACCUUCGGGCCUCGCGCUAUAGGGUUGGCCGAUGGCUGAUUAGCUGGUUGGUGGGGUAAAGGCCUACCAAGGCGACGAUCAGUAGCUGGUCUGAGAGGACGACCAGCGACACUGGGAGUGGAACACGGCCCAGACUCCUACGGGAGGCAGCAGUGGGGAAUUUUGGACAAUGGGCGAAAGCCUGAUCCAGCAAUGCCGCGUGUGUGAAGAAGGCCUUCGGGUUGUAAAGCACUUUUGUCCGGAAAGAAAUCCUUGGCCCUAAUACGGUCGGGGGAUGACGGUACCGGAAGAAUAAGCACCGGCUAACUACGUG